GAGAACUCGGGUGAAGGAACUAGGCAAAAUGGUACCGUAACUUCGGGAGAAGGUACGCUCUUGAUGGUGAAGUCCCUCGCGGAUGGAGCUGACGAGAGUCGCAGAUACCAGGUGGCUGCAACUGUUUAUUAAAAACACAGCACUGUGCAAAAUCGUAAGAUGACGUAUACGGUGUGACGCCUGCCCGGUGCCGGAAGGUUAAUUGAUGGGGUUAGACUUCGGUCGAAGCUCUUGAUCGAAGCCCCGGUAAACGGCGGCCGUAACUAUAACGGUCCUAAGGUAGCGAAAUUCCUUGUCGGGUAAGUUCCGACCUGCACGAAUGGCGUAAUGAUGGCCACGCUGUCUCCACCCGAGACUCAGUGAAAUUGAAAUCGCUGUGAAGAUGCAGUGUACCCGCGGCUAGACGGAAAGACCCCGUGAACCUUUACUACAGCUUGGCACUGAACAUUGACCCUACAUGUGUAGGAUAGGUGGGAGGCUUUGAAGCACGUACGCCAGUAUGUGUGGAGCCGUCCUUGAAAUACCACCCUUGUAGUGUUGAUGUUCUAACGUCGACCCCUUAUCGGGGUUGCGGACAGUGCCUGGUGGGUAGUUUGACUGGGGCGGUCUCCUCCCAAAGAGUAACGGAGGAGCACGAAGGUGGGCUAAUCACGGUUGGACAUCGUGAGGUUAGUGCAAUGGCAUAAGCCCGCUUGACUGCGAGAAUGACAAUUCGAGCAGGUGCGAAAGCAGGUCAUAGUGAUCCGGUGGUUCUGAAUGGAAGGGCCAUCGCUCAACGGAUAAAAGGUACUCCGGGGAUAACAGGCUGAUACCGCCCAAGAGUUCAUAUCGACGGCGGUGUUUGGCACCUCGAUGUCGGCUCAUCACAUCCUGGGGCUGAAGUCGGUCCCAAGGGUAUGGCUGUUCGCCAUUUAAAGUGGUACGCGAGCUGGGUUUAGAACGUCGUGAGACAGUUCGGUCCCUAUCUGCCGUGGGCGUUGGAAGAUUGAAGGGGGCUGCUCCUAGUACGAGAGGACCGGAGUGGACGAACCUCUGGUGUUCGGGUUGUGUCGCCAGACGCAUUGCCCGGUAGCUAAGUUCGGAAUCGAUAACCGCUGAAAGCAUCUAAGCGGGAAGCGAGCCCUGAGAUGAGUCUUCCCUGAUACUUUAAGUAUCCUAAAGGGUUGUCGGAGACUACGACGUUGAUAGGUCAGGUGUGUAAGUGCUGUGAGGCAUUGAGCUAACUGAUACUAAUUGCCCGUGAGGCUUAACCAUACAACACCCAAGGGGUUU
rnacentral:rRNA from 1 species